UUCAUUUGCAAGUGAAAGAGAGAAACUCUCGACGCCGUGCAUCAAGGUCGCUUAUCUUCUCACGGAAUCUCUGUAUUCAUCGUCCUCUUCCUCAGACGCCGUGCAAAACGAAGUUGAAUUGCGUUUUCUUCUCACAGUUUGCUCCAAACAACCUCAGGGUCAUGGUCUUGAAAAUUAGCUCAAAGUUUGAACUACGGCAAUUUUGCCGUACUACAGGUUCUGUUGCUCUUUUAAAGCUGAGCCAACCAAUCCCAGACGAACUGGGAUAUGCUGAUUCUAUUUCGGUAGAGGAGAUUGGUAGUGUUCGGGUGUUUUCCAUUAUUCAUAAGUGCUAUUAUUGAAGGUUUUUUUUAUUUAUUUUAUUUAUUUUUUGAUUUUGUCCUCUCUUUACCUUCAAUGUAUGUAUUUCCUCAAUUGAUAGGUAACUGGUAUACUAGAUGACCUUGAUAGACCACACUCAACUGAAAGUAUACUAGAUGACCUUGAAAGAGCAGUUGAUGAUGGUGUAAAUACAUAUAAGCUAUGUGCAGGGACAGUCGCAUAAUCCCUGGAGCUGCAGCAAGUGAAAUUCUGUUGGCAAGAAGACUGAAAGAGUUCUCUUUUAAGGAGACAGGAUUAGAUUAGUAUAUGCUAUUGCAAAGUUUGCUGAAAGCUUUCAGAUGGUACCUAAAACUUUGGCUGAGAAUGCUGGGCUGAAUGCAAUGGAGAUCAUUUCCACCCUUUAUGCAGAUCAUGCAGCUGGAAAGACAAAAGUGGGUAUUGACUUGGAGGAAGGUGUUUGCAAGGUUGUAAUUGCUAUGGAUAUUUGGGACCUCCAUGUGACCAAGUUCUUUGCCCUCAAAUGUGCUGCAGAUGCUGCCUGCAUUGUGCUUCGGGUAGACCAGAUUAUAAUGGCAAAACCAAUGGGUGGUCCAAAGAGAGAUCAGCCUGCAGCGAUGGACGGGGAUUAGCUUUUGGCAGGGUAAUUAAUCUCUGCAAUUGGAUGCCAUGUAAAAUACUGAAAGUAGUUCUGCUCUGGGUCUUGUAGCCUUUCUGAGUACAUGAUGAUUUCUCCAAUUGGGUUUUCUUCUGGGUCUGGUUUCCUUGAAGUGUGCUUCAUUUUUAAUGGGAAACCAAUGCCAUUUAGUGCUGGGAAGGAUGAACCUCUGCACCUCUAUGGAAGGGCAUGUUGGGGACCAUCCUUGUUGCAAAUUGAAGAGAAUCUACAAGAGGAAGGGGGUGAAAAUCAUGGCUAGUGGUGAAGGACAGAGGUGAAGCAAAUUCUUUGGAAGUAGGCUUGGUCAAAAAGGCAUCAGGAUUAGAUUCAACUAAACAAAAAAAAUGAAGUCUCGCCAGGGGAGGAGGAGAAAAGAAUAGGAUAAAGUUUUUUGAAGGGAAUGGAGGUGAAGAGAACGAAGUUGGGGAGGACGUGGGAGAGGUGACUGUUGAUAGAGUGGGGAAAGGCGAAAGAUCGGGAGAUCGGGAGAUUUGAAUGUACAUUUCCAGAUAACUAGGGAGAGACAUCCAUGUGUUAAGCCGAAUAGGUGCUUCAAAUGUAUGCGAGUCCGAUUCCCAUGUUGGAGCUUGUUAGGCCUAUUUAUUAGAUGGUUUAUGUCACUAAUUUUUUUUGUUCCUUUAUGUGACAGGAUGCCCAGGCUGCUAGUUUUAUGCUUGUGGAAGCUUCAUAGUUCUUAUUCAUCGUUGGCGUGAAGAGGAGAGAGAAACUAGCUUACUUGGUAGAAGAGACUGUUGUAUUUGCACUGAUGGUGGGAGUAACUGAUUGUUUUUAUGUUGUUAUUUUUUACCUAGAUGUCUGCUGUAUGCUCGGGCAGCUUGUAAUUUUUAAUAUUUGUUUAAUGGUGGGAAUAGCUGGAACACGAUUUGGUAGCAAGAAAUGGUUGUAUUUGCAUUGAUGGAAAUGCCAAACAUCUACAAAAAUUGUAUUCUUA